GGUUGAUGCUUUGACUCACAACUUCCCUGUUCCUCAGAGGUAAGUGUGAAACUGUGGUAAAUCUAGUUUCAGAUCAAAGACAACGCAGCCAUGUGAUGUAAAGCAUUCAAACAAUCACUUUUCUUUCAAAAAAAAUGUUCUGAAGGCUUUAUGCUGGGUUCAGAUAUCACCUGUCUUCCCACAGGCUGUAUAAAUAGGAAAGGCAGCGGGAGCACCAGGCUGUGUGCUUUGGCAGUUGAGAGAAAUGUGUGCUCACAUCUGAUCCAGAUUCCUCACUAAUGGACAUUAGUGCUCAGCUUGCAGAACAAUGAAUCUACAAACAGGGGACAUGUUAAAAUUUUAGAGCUGAAAGUCCGAGAGCAUCUGAAGCUGAGUGAACUGAUGCACCUUGAAAAAGAGUUCAGGAGGAUGUAAGAGACAGAGUGCAAGAGCCACAGAAAGACAAGUUUCAGUCCUUGUGGAGGAGAUGCUGACAAGGAAUAAGAGAAAUGAAAGAUCUUAUUACAGAUCAAACACAAAUAAAUGUCCAAGACACAGCAGGGAGGCUUUAGGUUUUGGUUUGGAGCCCAGUGAAGUCAAUGGAAAAACACCCCAACACCUCAGCGGACUUUGGAGCAGAGGAUCAACGAAGAACCCACUGCAGAAACCUGUUGAAUGCCUCAUGUUUCCUUGCAAGGAUGAUGCUGAAGACGUCUCUCUUUGAUCAGUUGAAUUUCCACCCAUACAGCUGGAUUUUGAUCCUUUGGUUGAGGCUGGAGCUUUGCUUGCUUCUUCAGAGACUGCCCUAACCAAGGUCAGCAGAGCUGCCUGAGCCACCAGCCAUCACCCAACAGGGAAAAUGAUCAUGUGCUGUCUUGCCAGGCUUGUUAUGAAGGCAGGUGUCAUUAGAAGGUGUUUCUGCCUCCUCCUUCUCCUCCUCAGAAGUCAUUUGGGUCACAGCAGCAGAGCCAUGGGACAAGCUUUGUCCGAGCUGGGGAGCAGAGUUCCCGCCGCGCGUCUCUGCAGAACGGGUAAGCAGUUAACACUUGCUAAGCUGCUGUUGCUUCAUCUGCUUUUACUA
rnacentral:lncRNA from 1 species